GACGAACGCUGGCGGCGUGCCUAAUACAUGCAAGUCGAGCGAACGGACGAGAAGCUUGCUUCUCUGAUGUUAGCGGCGGACGGGUGAGUAACACGUGGAUAACCUACCUAUAAGACUGGGAUAACUUCGGGAAACCGUAGCUAAUACCGGAUAAUAUUUUGAACCGCAUGGUUCAAAAGUGAAAGACGGUCUUGCUGUCACUUAUAGAUGGAUCCGCGCUGCAUUAGCUAGUUGGUAAGGUAACGGCUUACCAAGGCAACGAUGCAUAGCCGACCUGAGAGGGUGAUCGGCCACACUGGAACUGAGACACGGUCCAGACUCCUACGGGAGGCAGCAGUAGGGAAUCUUCCGCAAUGGGCGAAAGCCUGACGGAGCAACGCCGCGUGAGUGAUGAAGGUCUUCGGAUCGUAAAACUCUGUUAUUAGGGAAGAACAUAUGUGUAAGUAACUGUGCACAUCUUGACGGUACCUAAUCAGAAAGCCACGGCUAACUACGUG
rnacentral:rRNA from 1 species